GUAGUCAUAUGCUUGUCUCAAAGAUUAAGCCAUGCAUGUCUAAGUAUAAGCACUCAUACUGUGAAACUGCGAAUGGCUCAUUAAAUCAGUUAUCGUUUAUUUGAUAGUACCUUUACCUGGAUAACCGUGGUAAUUCUAGAGCUAAUACAUGCUAAAAAUCCCGACUUCGGAAGGGAUGUAUUUAUUAGAUAAAAAACCAAUGCCCUUCGGGGCUCCUUGGUGAUUCAUAAUAACUUAACGAAUCGCAUGGCCUUGCGCCGGCGAUGGUUCAUUCAAAUUUCUGCCCUAUCAACUUUCGAUGGUAAGGUCUUGGCUUACCAUGGUCUCAACGGGUAACGGGGAAU
rnacentral:rRNA from 1 species